UACGGAGGAGGCAAGCGUUAUCCGGAAUUAUUGGGCGUAAAGCGUCCGCAGGUGGCACUUCAAGUCUGUCGUCAAAGACUGGGGCUUAACCCUGGAAAGGCGGUGGAAACUGAAGCGCUAGAGUGCGGUAGGGGUAGAGGGAAUUCCCGGUGUAGUGGUGAAAUGCGUAGAGAUCGGGAAGAACAUCGGUGGCGAAAGCGCUCUACUGGACCGCAACUGACACUCAGGGACGAAAGCUAGGGGAGCGAAUGGG
rnacentral:rRNA from 1 species